GCUGAGGCCCCAGGGUGGGACCGCGGCCUAUCAGGUAGUAGGUGGGGUAACGGCCCACCUAGCCUACGACGGGUACGGGCCCUGAGAGGGGGAGCCCGGAGAUGGGCACUGAGACAAGGGUCUAGGCCCUAAGGGGCGCAGCAGGCGCGAAGAUUCCGCAAUGCCCGAAAGGGCGACGGAGUGAACCCGAGUGCCACCCGCUGAGGGUGGCUGUUCCCCUGUGCAAAAAGCAGGGGGCAGGAAGGGGAGGGCAAGGCUGGUGGCAGCCGCCGCGGUAAAACCAGCUCCCCGAGGGGUUCCCACGCAUACUGGGCCUAAAGCGUCCGUAGCCGGCCCUGUAAGUCUGCAGUUAAAUCCGCCUGUAGACAGGCGGGUUGCUGCAGAUACUGCAGGGCUAGGGAGCGGGAGGAGCCGGGGGUAUUCCCGGGGGAGCGGUAAAAUGCGUAGAUCCCGGGAGGACCACCAGUGGCGAAGGCGCCCGGCUUGAACGCGUCCGACGGUGAGGGACGAAAGCUGGGGGAGCAAACCGGAUUAGAUACCCGGGUAGUCCCAGCCGUAAACGAUGCCGGCUAGGUGCUGGCCAAGGUUUCGGCCUUGGCCAGUGUCGAAGCGAAGGCAUUAAGCCGGCCGCCUGAGGAGUACGGCCGCAAGGCUGAAACUUGAAGGAAUUGACGGGGGGGCACCACAAGGGGUGAAUGCCUGCGGCUUAAUUGGACUCAACGCCGGGAAUCUUACCGGGGGCGACAGCAGGAUGAAGGUCAGGCUGAAGACCUUACCAGACGCGCUGAGGGGUGGUGCAUGGCCGUCGCCAGCUCGUGCCGUGAGGUGUCCUGUUAAGUCAGGCAACGAGCGAGACCCCCGCCCCUAGUUGCCAGCGGCCUCCUUCGGGAGGGACCGGGCAAACUAGGGAGACCGCCUCCGAAGAGGAGGAGGAAGGUGGGGGCUACGGCAGGUCAGUAUGCCCCUAAUCCCCCGGGCCGCACGCGGGCUGCAAUGGGCGGGACAGCGGGAG
rnacentral:rRNA from 1 species